UACGAACUGUGCAAACGUUAUUCGGAAUCACUGGGCUUAAAGGGUGCGUAGGCGGAUUUAAAGGUCUGAUGUGAAAGCCCACGGCUCAACCGUGGAAUUGCGUUGGAAACCAUGAAUCUUGAGGAGAUCAGAGGUAAGCGGAACUGAUGGUGGAGCGGUGAAAUGCGUUGAUAUCAUCAGGAACACCGGUGGCGAAAGCGGCUCGCUGGGAUCUUUCUGACGCUGAGGCACGAAAGCUAGGGGAGCGAACGGG
rnacentral:rRNA from 1 species